rnacentral:rRNA from 1 species
UACGGGGGGGGCAAGCGUUGUUCGGAAUUACUGGGCGUAAAGGGCUCGUAGGCGGCCAACUAAGUCGGACGUGAAAUUCCCAGGCUCAACCUGGGAACUGCGUCCGAUACUGGAUGGCUUGAAUCCGGGAGAGGGAUGCAGAAUUCCAGGUGUAGCGGUGAAAUGCGUUGAUAUCUAUCGGAAUGCCGAAGGUGAAAACAGGCCGCUGGGCUUGGUCUGACGCUGAGGUACGAAAGCGUGGGGAGCGAACGGG